AUGUGCAGGUCAAAAAUGGCUACCAGAGCUUCAGAGCCUGCCCGGACGCGUAGUUCUAACCCUAGAAUUGCACGCACAGCGCACUCCAGAUCGCACUCAUCGGAGAAACCUUCGCCGUCGAAUACGCCGACGUCUCCCCUCGCAAAUCCGUUCCAGAGCGGCUCCACCACCUCCGCCGCCGCCUCUACCUCCUCUUACCGCCUCGGAAGCUCCGUUGCCACCACUUCCGUAUCCAGCCACACCUCGUUGUCCAGUCUGCGCGAUUCUCUCCCCGAAAGUGCGCAGAUCUACGAUUUUUCCGAGAUUCGCGCCGCUACGAACAAUUUCCUCGGCCGGCGACACUCCGCCGCGUCGUCGUCGUCGCAGUCAUGGCGGUGCGUUCUUAGCGGUAAGGAUGUGGUGGUUUUUCAGAGGAAGCUGCGGAAAUCGGUGAUGACGAGUGAGGAUGUGAAGCGGAAGAUGGCGGUUAUUAGUAAGAGUCAUUUCACGAGCAUCGUGAAGCUUCUAGGAGUUUCGAUCUCCGGUGAGCAUAUUUACCUGGUGUAUGAAUUUGUUCAAGGAUCGGAUUUAGGAGUUUGCCUCCGGAGCAAAAUCAACCGCGAUUUCACGGUGCUCUCGACUUGGAUCUCGCGGAUGCAGAUCGCCACGGACGUCGCGCACGGCCUCGAUUACAUCCACAACAAUGCCGGAUUGAGCAUCGAUAUGGUCCACAAGCACGUCAAGAGCAGCGCCAUAAUUGUAACGGAGCCGUCCUUCAACGCCAAAAUCUGCCACUUCGGCGCCGCCGAGCUUUGCGGCGAGACGGCGGCGCCGGCGACGGCGACUCCUGAAAAGCAUCAUUUCGAAGGCGUCGGAGGUUACAUGUCGCCGGAAUUCAAGGCGACCGGCGUAGCGACGCAGAAAUCCGACGUGUACGCCUUCGGCGUCGUGAUUCUCGAGCUUAUGAGCGGACAGGAGCCUCUGAGGUACAAAUUCGACCGGAGCAGCGGGAAUCACAAUCUGAUUUCCAUUAUCGACACCGCGAGGGAGGCGGUGGACGGCGGCGGGGACGCCGCCGCGGUGGAAGGGAAUUUAAGGCGGUGGAUAGAUAGGCGGUUGAAGGACUCCUUUCCGGUGGAAGUCGCAGAGAAACUGACACGUGUCGGUCUGCAAUGCGUGCAGGAGGAUCCGGAUAAGCGACCCGACAUGAAAUGGAUCGCGGGUAAGAUAUCCAAGCUUUAUUUGGAGUCUCGUAGAUGGUCCGACCGGAUUCGGGUCCCGACUGAAAUUUCAGCGUCCUUUGCUCCCCGGUAACAUAUCCUUACCAAUUAUUUAUAUUAUUUUAUUUGGGAAUAAUUAGAAAUUUUUUAAUUGGUAGGUAUUAUCCAAUUAUUUAUUUCCCAAAUUUUUAUUAUAUAUAUAGUCGAUUAAGCCUGAUCUAGGAAGAUUUCAAUUAGAUAUGCAUAAUUAAAUUAUGAUCAUUAUUUUAAAGCAUAAAAAAAAGCCUAACUAGUACAUGCUUGCAGCGUCACUAUAAUGUAUUUUAUUUUAAUUUAUUUUUGAUAUUAUUAGAUGUAGAAGUGUAAAAUAAUUGCGGCAGGUCCGGUCACACUUUUUUAUAUUUAUAUAUAAAAAAAAAUAAAAUUAUAAAAGAGAGAGGCGUAAAGUAUUUUUCUAUCCACAGUGUAGUUUAUUUUCUUACCAUAUAAAUAAAUAUAACAAAUAUGAUAAUAGUUUGGAUUCUAGGGUUUGUGGUCAAAGUUGCACGGUCUAAAAGCGGAAUUAGCCGUUUCUGUGUUCAAAGCUUCAGAGUCAACUUGGCUGCGAGAGUUGAGGGUGUUUUUUUUUAUUUUUUAUUUUUUAUUUUUUUUUAUUUUUUAUCGUAAAUAAAUUAUAUAUAAAUUUAUCCCAAAAAAAUGAUAUAAUUAUUCGGAUAAAUUGUAUAUUCAUAUAAUAUUUUAAAAGAACAUUUGUUAAAGAACUUAUAAAUUUAUUACUAAAUAGUAGUAAUAAAUAAAUAUGUCAAAUUGUAAUAUUUAACAGUGUUUUUUAAAAAAGAAAAAAAAAAUUCCCUUGUUGCAUAUUAUACAUUUUUUUAUUAUAAUUUUUUUAUAAAAAUCAUAUGUAUAAUAUAAUUACAGUCCAUGUCUCUCUAUAUAGAGAUAGAGAGUUGAAUAUUGCGACAGAAUUUAAAGGGUGAAGGCCAAAUUGAUAGAGGAAUACUACGAUCGCGUUGAAAAUGUAUACAAAAGUCAAACUUAUUAAUGCACUCAAAUCAACGUGCAAUAAAAAAUAUAUUCAAAAAAUAUUACUACAAAAAUAUUUAGGAGUAAAUUUGACUUUUUUUUAAAAAAUCAUGUAUUAUUUACAUAUAAAUUUAAAAUAUUUGUAUAGUUUAGCCAAAUACAUAAUUACUCUAAAUAAUCUAUUUUUUACAUAAAAAUUAUAGUAAAGGACAAAUACAUAUGCACAUAAAGACAAAGAGUAAAUAAAAGCAAGUGAAUCAUUUGAUGUUUUAUGCAUAUAACUAUUUACGUGUAUUUUUAAAUCACUUUUAGCACUAUUUAUCGAAAUAAUUUUUUUUAAUUUAAAAUUUUACUAUUUAAAAUAUCGAAUCCAACCAUCAACCUCAUUUGAAAGAAUCCUAAAUUUUCAACUGAAAAUAGAACCCUAAAGAAAUAAAUGAAUGCCAAAUCUACAAUGUUUUCAGCCAUUUCAUACACUUAGACCAGCAAAUUGUCAAUUAGACAUGUAUCUAUUUCAGUACAGAAAUGUUAGUGUGAGAAACAACUCAUGAACGGGUAACUGGUGAUGACUACAACUUAGAAAAUUGUCAAUGGAAAUAUCGAUACAUGCCCCUAUAUAUAUUUGUAUAUACAUAUAUAUAUAUGUAUGUAUAUUAUUCUUCCAUGAAGGGUGCAUCAUUUCAAGAUAAGUGAAGUGGCGAAGAUAUAUUCAUGCUCCGAGAAAGAAUUAAGUGGCGGGACGAGCAAUUUUCCUGAUCUGCAACAACUACUGCCAUUGAAACUCUGCCGGCUUCGAGGGUUUGGAUCAAUCUUUGCAGAGUUUUGAAAACCAUCCCACCACCAUGCUGGCCAUGGC